GCACGCGUAGCCAAGCUGGUGAAGGCGGCGGCCUGCAAAGCCGCCCAUCGCCGGUUCGAAUCCGGCCGCGUGCU
rnacentral:tRNA from 1 species